rnacentral:rRNA from 1 species
UACAGAGGAUGCAAGCGUUAUCCGGAAUGAUUGGGCGUAAAGCGUCUGUAGGUGGCUUUUAAGUCCGCCGUCAAAUCCCAGGGCUCAACCUCUGGACAGGACGGUGGAAACUACCAAGCUGGAGUACGGUAGGGCAGAGGGAAUUUCCGGUGGAGCGGUGAAAUGCUGUAGAGAUCGGAAAGAACACCAACGGCGAAAGCACUCUGCUGGGCCGAACACUGACACUGAGAGACGAAAGCUAGGGGAGCGAAUGGG